AUUGAACGCUGGCGGCAGGCCUAACACAUGCAAGUCGAGCGGAUGAAGGGAGCUUGCUCCUGGAUUCAGCGGCGGACGGGUGAGUAAUGCCUAGGAAUCUGCCUGGUAGUGGGGGAUAACGUCCGGAAACGGGCGCUAAUACCGCAUACGUCCUGAGGGAGAAAGGGGGGGAUCUUCGGACCUCACGCUAUCAGAUGAGCCUAGGUCGGAUUAGCUAGUUGGUGGGGUAAAGGCCUACCAAGGCGACGAUCCGUAACUGGUCUGAGAGGAUGAUCAGUCACACUGGAACUGAGACACGGUCCAGACUCCUACGGGAGGCAGCAGUGGGGAAUAUUGGACAAUGGGCGAAAGCCUGAUCCAGCCAUGCCGCGUGUGUGAAGAAGGUCUUCGGAUUGUAAAGCACUUUAAGUUGGGAGGAAGGGCAGUAAGUUAAUACCUUGCUGUCUUGACGUUACCAACAGAAUAAGCACCGGCUAACUUCGUG
rnacentral:rRNA from 1 species